rnacentral:misc_RNA from 1 species
AACUUGGCCCUAAAGAUUCAGUGGCAUUUAUAAAACUGUGUGUUUUAUGCCAAUAACGUUUUUCUCUGUGCUUGUCUAAAAUUGUUUUAAAAUUAAAUUAAAUAUAUAAUUAAGUUAUUUUCAACAUUUUAUAUUACUUAAUUCACUAAAAUUAAUAAUAAAUAUAUUUUUUUUCAAUAAAAUAUAUACCAAGUGUAUUUUUUUUUUUUUUUCUAUUGUAAAAUUAUAUUUCUAAACAAUUUUUAAGACUCAAAUUGUUAACUUAAAUUCAUUCUAGCUAAUUUAAAAUAUUUAUACAAAUAAAAAGUGCAAAAUAAAGUGUAAUUUUCAUAAAAAAAAAGUGAAUAAAUGCAAAACUUGCUUGAAAUUUAAAACAAUAUUGAAAAUAAAUUUUUUAAAUUUGAUACUUAUUUAAUUAUUAAUAAUUCAAUAAAAUGUAUAACAUAAAUAUUGAUAAAUUAAUAAUUACAAUGUUUCAAAAAUUUAAUAUAAAAAAAUAAUGAAAAAAAAAAAAAAAUAAUAAUUUAAAUAUAAAAAAAUUGGAGCAUGAUAUUUUAGUGAUAAAAUAUGUCGGACACAUCGUGGGGGCCACUCCUUCGUUGGGGUGCCCAACGACCUCGCAAUUGUAUCAAUAUUAAAAUGCAUAUUAUUUAUAUUAUUAUUGUUAUAUUUAUGAGUGAAACAUUGAUGACAAAUGUUAAUGCUGAAGAUGGAAAAGAUUAUAAGAUGAGCAUCAUUUGUAAAAAUCACUUUCUUCGUGAUUUAUACAGAAAAAUUUAUGGAGCUGUAUUAAUAUCACAAAAUGAAAGAAAUCUCGAUUGUGCAAUAACAUUUCAAACUCAUAGUAUACUUCAACGUUUUAUGCUGAGAUUUGAUCAACUUCAAUUGGAUUGUAAUGAUCAUUUAUAUAUUUAUGAUGGAGCACAUGCUGUUAGUAACUUCAAGGCUGAUUUAUCGUGUAGAAAUACACAUCUUACUGUAGGAUCAAUUUAUACACGCACCAACUUUGUGACGUUGAAAUAUGUAACAGAUGGAUGGGGAACUGAUGCUAAUGGUUUUCGACUUGUUAUCACUGCCGUCAAAGAUCCAAAACACACUUGUAAGGAUUUUCGUUGUACAUUGAAAGAAUUUUGCAUUGAUGACGACCUUGUUUGUGACGGCGUUAAUCACUGUGGAGACGGUUCCGAUGAGCUUGCAUCACCACUUUGCUCCAACACAGAAGCUUCAACAAUACUUGGAAUGCAGAAGACUUGGUUUGCAGUUGCUGCAGUUUUCUUGGUCUUGAGUACAAUGGCACUAGUAGCUGGUACUGUUCUUUGUUAUUGCCGAAAGCGUGUUGUAACACCAAGGCAUUUACAAAAUACCAACAACACACAUCCACAUCAACCAGUCAGCUUCCCAUUGCAACAGAUGUACGAAUCGAACGGAGGGAGUAUGCCAAUGGGAAUGACAUCACUGAAGGGAUCAUUGGGACAAUUGGGACCUAUCAACAAUUUCGGAACAGUUUACGGUCCAACAGGAGCAACAACAUUACCACGGCCGGGAAACUGGUUGCGCCCUGCGGGCCUCAGGCUCGGGCACAGCGUGGCCCGGGUCCGCCUCUAUUGCCAGGCAAAGUGAGAAGCCACGGUUCAGACAGUGACAUCUCAGCUAGCCAAAAAGAUGAAUGGUUUGUGUAGAGGCAGACCUGGACCAAAGCCCGCAGGGUGAAUUAUGGAGUAUUAUGGUGCCCUCACCAAUGCUCCAAUGAAGCGAUAAUCUUCAUUAAAAUUG